AGGCAUUCUGUUGGGAACUAUAAUGUACCAUUUUGCUUACAGUCAACCAGUAAACCACUAGUGUAUGCCCUGGUUCAAGAGGAACUAAAUCAAGAAACAGUUCAUCAGUAUGUUGGCCAUGAACCCAGUGGGUUCACGUUCAAUGCCAUUUCUCUCGAUCCUGCAAGUAAGAUAUAUUUGAUAAUUCUAGAAUGCCAUAAUGCCCUAUCUCAUCAAGUACUGUAAAUUAAUAAAUUAUAGCGAUUUUGUCAUUUUGAAAUAAAAUUCUUUGCGAUAUUGAGAAAAAUCCUGUUUAUAGAUAUAGGAAGAUGUGGUGUGAGUGCCAAUGAGACAACUCUCCAUCCAAAUAACAAUUCAUAAAACCUAGACUCACACCGAAUAACAAGCUAUAAAGGGCCCCAAAAUUACGAGUGUAAAACCAUUCGAACGGGAAAAACCAACGGUCUCGUCUAUAUAAACUAGAGGCUCUCAAGAGCCUGUAUCGCUCACCUGAUUCUACUUGGGUUUUUGAAAUCAUAUGAAAAAAUAUAAAAUUUGGCUAAAAGUGACAACACAACCUCAUUGAUAAGGAAAGGAACAUGUUUAAUUUCAUUCAAAAGUCCCCCACUGGCGGCCAUCUUGGAUGGCGGAUCGGCUACAAAGUAACAACACUUGGUCAGCACCUCAUAAGGAACAUUCAUGCCAUGUUUGGUUUUAUUCCAUUCAGUGGUUCUCUAAAGAAGUCAUUUGUAUGCAUUUCCCCAUAGGGUCCUAUGUUAUACUAAGUCCCCUGCUGGCGGCCCAUCUUGGAUGAUGGAUCUGCUACAAAGUAACAACACUUGUCAGCACCUCAUAAGGAACAUUCAUUGCAAUGUUUAGUUUUAUUCCAUUCAGUGGUUCUCUAAAAGAAGUCAUUUGUAUGCAUUUCCAAUAGGGUCCUAUGUUAAACUAAGUCCCUGCUGGCGGCCAUCUUGGAUAAUGGAUCAGCUACAAAGUAACAACACUUGGUCAGCACCACAUUAGGAACAUUCAUGCCAUGUUUGAUUUCAUUCCAUUCAGUGGUUCUCUAAAAGAAGUCAUUUGUAUGCAUUUUCCAUAGGGUCCUAUGUUAAACUAAGUCCAUGCUGGCGGCCAUCUUGGAUGAUGGAUGGGCUACAAGAAACAACACAUGGUCAGCACCCCAUAAGGAACAUUCAUGCAAUGUUUGGUUUCAUUCCAUUCAGUUGUUCUCUAAAAGAAGUCAUUUGUAUGCAUUUUCCCAUAGGGUCCUAUGUUAAACUAAGUCCCCCGCUGGCGUCCAUCUUGGAUAAUGGAUCGGCUACAAAGUAACAACCUUGGUCAGCACCACAUUAGGAAAUUCAUGCAUGUUUGAUUUCAUUCCAUUCAGUGGUUCUCUAAAAGAAGUCAUUUGUAUGCAUUCCCAUAGGGUCAUAUGUUAAACUAAGUCCCCCACUGGCGGCCAUCUUGGAUGAUGGAUCGGCUACAAAGUAACAAACACUUGGUCAGCACUCCAUAAGGAACAUUCAUGCUAUGUUUGGUUUCAUUCCAUUUAGUGGUUCUCUAGAAGAAGUCAUUUUAUGCAUUUCCCAUAGGGUCCUAUGUUAAACUAAGUCCCCUGCUGGCGGCCAUCUUGGAUGAUGGAUCGGCUACAAAGUAACAACACUUGGUCAGCACCCAUAAGGAAACAUUCAUGCUAUGUUUGGUUUUAUUCCAUUCAGUGGUUCUCUAAAAGAAGUCAUUUGUAUGCAUUUCCCAUAGGGUCUAUGUUAAACUAAGUUCCCGGCUGGCGGCCAUCUUGGAUGAUGGAUCGGCAACAAAGUAACAACACUUGGUCAGCACCUCAUAAGGAACAUUCAUGCCAUGUUUGGUUUCAUUCCAUUCAGUGGUUCUCUAGAGGAAGUCAUUUGUAUGCAUUUCCCAUAGGGUCCUAUGUUAAAACUAAGUCCCCGCUGGCGGCCAUCUUGGAUGAUGGAUCGGCAACAAAGUAACAACACAUUGGUCAGCACCUCAUAAGGAACAUUCAUGCUAUGUUUUGGUUUCAUUCAAUUCAGUGGUUCUCUAAAAGAAGUCAUUUGUAUGCAUUUCCCAUAGGGUCCUAUGUUAAACUAAGUCCCCUGCUGGCGGCCAUCUUGGAAGAUGGAUCGGCUACAAAGUAACACACUUGGUCAGCACCCCAUAAGGAACAUUCAUGCUAUGUUUGGUUUUUAUUCCAUUCAGUGGUCUCUAAAAAGAAGUCAUUUGUAUGAAUUUCCCAUAGGGUCCUAUGUUAAACUAAGUCCCCCGCGGCGGCCAUCUUGGAUGAUGGAUCGCUACAAAGUAACAAACACUUGGUCAGCAACCUCAUAAGGAACAUUCAUGCCAUGUUUUGGUUCCAUUCCAUUCAGUGGUUCUCUAGAAGAAGUUCAAAAUGUAAAUUGUUAACGACGACGACGACGGACGACGACGACGGACGACGACGACGGACGACGGACGCCAAGUGGUGAGAAAAGCUCACUUGGCCCUUCGGGCCAGGUGAGCUAAAAAGGAGAAAUGAGAAACGUGUAUAAAUUACAUAAACAAAAGACAACUACUGUACAUUAGAUUCCUGUCUUAGGGCAGGUGCAAACAUAAUUCAUAUAAAAGAUUCAAAAUGCAAAUUUAAAGAUAUUGUGAUUACAAUGUAUAACCCUGUUGCAUUUUUCACAAUAAUAAAAACAUCGCAAUAAUUUCUGAAUUUACAGUAGUAUGCGUUUAAACCUCUCCCACACCAUUACCCUGAGGAUUGUAGCUUAGUAGUGUGAGUCUUCUUCAAUCCUGUCAGGUUAAAAACUUCGUUGAUGACUUUGGACUCGCAAUUCAUUCCCUGGUCUGAGUGUAUCCUCCCAGGUAUCCUAUAAUGAACACUGUAGUGGUCCUGAUUUUGUCAAGACUUAAAAACCAAUCCACCUCUGAAGAACGAUUAUGUUUGAUAAGCCUAGAAAGUGCUACUACACAUUAAUCAAAACAGAGAUAUAAUUUUGUUGAAAAUGUUUGUUUAGAAAAAAAAACAGUUUUUAUGCCCUACAUCAGGGGCGGAUCCAGGAUUUUGAAAAGGAGGGGGGGGCGAAAUUUGUAAAAAAUUUUAGGACCUUUUUUGGGUAAAAAAACAUAAAAUAAGUUAUAAAAUGCACCUUUAAACGGUUCCCGACGUGGAACAUGUAUAUUUUACAGUUGCUGUAAAGUGUAAGGGUUGGACAUGUUUUAUGCUGUAUUGAUUCUCCCUAUCGAGUGUCUAUCAUAAAAUGAUAGUAUGGAUCCAAAGCUAUGUACUGAUAUAUUUGAUGUUGGGACUUGUCAGUAAAACAUAGACAUGGCAAAUUAUCGUGUGUUGUAUGUUAAAUUAGGAUAAACUUACAGAUUUCUUUUUGUAAGCAAAAUAUACGCCAGGCUUUUCAAUGAAAUUUACAAAACGACCGACACGAGGUUAAAUACAAACAAGCAAUGUUUAGCCAAAUGUUUCGUUGAAAAGUUUCACCCAAACAGAGAAAGUAAGGGUUCCAAAUCAACCAAAAGGCUACGAAUGAGUCUGAAAUGACAACGAAUUUAUGAAUGCCGGUCGACAAAUGGAGACAUUAAGGCCACACCCAGUAGACAGGUUGCAGUCUGGUUUUGAAAAAAGUAUUCAAUAUAUCAGUUCGGCGAAACAGACAUUCCGGUAAGACAUGGAAACCCAGCCCCAAUGUUCAUUUAAUGCUAAAUAAUUCUGUUGGAAAUUGUCGUUUCUAAUAAUAAAAAAAAAUGGACAAGAUUAUUGUUUUCAAUCCAGAUACGGCCAGAAUUAUUGUUUAAGUCAAACAUCAGAGUUAGAUUUUUUUCUCAAAUAUCUCAGACUGCCUCCUCAAAUCUAAGUACCUUAGACUUUAAAUCUAUCUAGAGCUUUAAAUACUGACCGGGGAUCAUUGUUCAGCUAUGAAAUAUUUUGAAAUAGACUAGGGCGUUUGGGGUUAAACAUGUUUUCGUAUGUAAAUAAUAUUGCUGUGGAACUUUUUUUUUCAUGAGAGUGUAAUUAUAGAGUUUUACUUUCUGUUUGGUGGAAUUGUGAAAUAAAAGUCAAUACAUUCUUUCUCAAUCCCAUCUCGCUUUGAAGGUGUCAUGAUUGUCAUUCUCAGCCUAAGCAAUGUGUUACUGUUAUUUAAAAAUGACCCAGUGACAUUUUUUCGACGCACUGGUCAACUCCACCACAGCGAAUCACAUGACUUUGCCAUAGUCGGUAAAUACCAGCGAAAAAUAUCUUUAAAUAAGUUAAGAAUUGUUGCAUAAAAAUUGAAUACACGGGAAAUGGCAAAGUUCAGGAAGUCUAGUCUGAUUAAUCAUUUUACAAAAAAAAAAAAAGUCCCAGCAAAGGGGGGGGGGGGGCGUACGCCCUCUACGCCCCCCUCUGGAUCCGCCACUGCCCUACAUACAUGUAUGAUGACAUCUGGUCCGUGCAUUUGUCUAAUCAAUAUAAAACUUGGUACACAAGUUCAUUAUGACAUAAACUCUCAGAAAGAUAUGUCAAUUAAGUGUUUUUUUUACCUAGAUUUUUGAGACUCAAAUGGUUUUUUGGAAAGUAAACUUUCUUAAGGCAUCGGCCUCUAAUCGGAAAAGAGACAGACAUUUUUUAGGAGUGUGUCCUAUUCUUAAGGGUACUGGUGGAAAACUAAUAAUAGAAAGAUGCAAAUUUUGAGCUCUUCUAUUUUAAUAGCAUACUGCUUGAAUUAAAAUGUACUGAAUUUUCAUCGAUGUGCAUUUCAGCAAAUUUAGAAUUUUUACUUUGGCAUCUUUUCGAAAUGAUCUAUUGGUAUUGAUUUGUCAAACUAUAUGAGAAGAAAUGAUUUUCACUUUCAUUUGAUAGAAAUUUUGUGAAAAAGUCACUUUUCAGGUUAAAUGCCUAAAAUGUAGCUUUUUCACUUUUUUCACUAUUUUUUCAAAAACAGCAUGCUUAAUUUCUCUCUGACAGUUUUUUUCUGAUAUCUAUUUGUGUUUGUGGUAUUUAUUUCAGUUGUUUAACUUAUUUGUGAACUCUGAACACAAAAAAAAGUAGAUAAAAACAUAAAAAGAGUGCAAAAUGUGCUGUUUUAAUAGUCUAAGUCUAACGAUCAGUAUCGCACGCAGCAGGUGAAAUGUGAAGUUCUAUGCACUUAAAAGUUGUGUAUUCCAAAACAGAUUGCACUGAACCUACAUCAAAAACACUUAUUACUGGUUGCUUAACCAUUUCUGUUUCACAGACUACCUUUACUUUCUUCUGUUGGAUAGCUAGUGGUUUAAAUAUUGGCCUUUUGAGGCUGACAUUUCAUUCAGUUUUUAAACAGUAAAGUUAAUAAACUUUGCAUCAGACCAUACUGUCUGCAUAUAUAGUUGAAAGUGACAGUCUUGUUACAUCCAGGCUCCAUGUUUUAUCAUAUCUGAGCACAGAUUUUAGCAAAAAGAAGUAUAUCUCCAUCUCCCAUAUCAUUUAUAUGCUUAAUUUUAAAUAUGCAAAUGUGGGGAACGGCCUAAACUGGCAAUCUGUUUUUUUAAGCAUAACAUUGCUAAAGACCAUUUUAUCCACAUGCGUUAUGCUAUUUGAAACUUAUAUUUCCAUCAAAAGUACAUUUAUAACCUGUUAAAGUUUGUUUGAUAACUUAACAACUUCAGAAAAUUGUGGUAAGUGAAAAAUAUUACAUUUGAUAUAAGGCCUCACCCUAAUUGAAAACCUCUAUUUUUUGGCACAGGCUCAUAUAAAAUUAACUUCUGGCCAUUUUGCAUAAGUCUGAUACAUGAAAUAUGCUUUCUGUUGCUUUAAAUAGAUGUUAACUUAUACAUAGAGACAUUAAAAAGUGUUAGUUUUGGUACAUUUUGGUUUUUAGAAGCUCAAAUUUGAUAGUUUUAAUUGUUCUAAUUCAACGCCACAAUUCAGCACCCAAAAUUCAGAUAUAAAAAAUGCCACACCCCCUUGUUGUUUGAGAACUUGUAAACGGUUGAGAACCCCACCCACAAACUAUAUAUUUCUUUGGGACAAUAACAUAAAUCAAAUGAAAUAUAGAAGAAGUCCACAGGGGUGACCCCACCCCUUCUUUUUGAAAACUUGUAAAUGGAACGAGAUCCCCACCCCUAAACCAAAUAUAUUCUUUUAUGGGGCAGCAAAACAAAACAAAUGAAAUAUGGGAGUCCCUCUGGGUUAUCCCCAACCCCUCAUGUUUGAGAACUUGUAAACGGUUGAGAUCCCCAACCCUUAACCAUAAAUUUUCUUGUAUUGGACAAUAAAACGAAUAAAAUGAAAUAUAAGGAGAGUCUUUAAGUGUAACACCACCCAAUCCUAGUUUGAGAACUUGUAAACAGUCAAGAUCUACCCCCUUCUUUUCGAAAACUUGAAAACUGUUGAAAUCCCUACACUGAAACAACACAUAUUCUUGUACUGGACAAUAAAACAAAUCAAAUGCAAAAGAAGGCGAGUCCCCAGGGGUCGCUCCCACCCCCUUGUUGUUAAACCAUAUAUAUUUUUGUAUGGGACAAUAACAUAAAUCAAAUGAAAUAUAGAAAAGUCCACAGGGGUGACCCCAUCCCCUUCUUUUUGAAAACUUGUAAACGGUCGAGAUCCCCACCCCUGAACCAAAUAUAUUCUUUUAUGGGGCAACAAAACAAAACAAAUGAAAUAUAGUGGGAGUCCCUCUGGGUUAUCCCCAACCCCUCAUGUUUGAGAACUUGUAAACGGUUGAGAUCCCCAACCCUUAACCAUAAAUUUUUUUGUAUUGGACAAUAAAACGAAUAAAAUGAAAUAUAAGGAGAGUCCCUCAGUGUAACACCACCCCAUCCUGUUUUGAGAACUUGUAAACAGUCAAGAUCCACCCCCUUCUUUUCGAAAACUUGAAAACUGUCAAAAUCCCCACACUGAAACAACAUAUAUUCUUGUAUGGAAUAAUAAAACAAAUCAGAUGAAAUAAAAGGCUAGUCCCCUAGGGUCACUCUUACCCCUACCUCCUGCCUGUUUGAGAACUUGUAAACUGUCUAAAUCCCCACCCCUAAAUCAUGAAUAUAAUACUGUACAUGAUUUCAAGAAGAUUUGAAUGACAUACAGGUGUAAUACCUAGAUGUCACUUGUGCAUAUCACUUUAUUAGACCUAGACCAAUUUGUAUUGGACUUUGCUUAAUGUCAGGCGACCGUGGGAAUGACUAAUUUUGAGAGCUUUGUUUGGGAGACUUCGUAGCAGCAUCCUGUUACAAUUAUUCUUGAUAAAGUUUUUUUUCUUUUGUAAGUAGGAAAAAACUAGAGGCUCUCAAGAGCCUGUGUCGCUCACCUUGGUCUAUGUGCAUAUUAAACAAUGGAAACAGAUAAAUUCAUGACAAAAUUGUGUUUUGGUGAUAAUGAAUGUUGUUUGUAGAUUUUACUUUACUGGACAUUUAUUUGCUACAAUUAUCUCUAUCUAUAAUGAACUUGGCCCAGUAAUUAAAGUGGAAAAUAUAUUCUAAAAAUUUACAAAAAUUUAUGAAAAUUGUUUAAAAAUGACUAUAAAGAGCAAUAACUCCUUAAGGGGUAAACUGACAAUUUUGGUCAUGUUGACUUAUUUGUAGAUCUUACUUUGCUGUACAUUAUUGCUGUUUACAGUUUAUCUCUAUCUAUAAUAAUAUUCAAGAUAAUAAGCAAAAACUGCAAAAUUUCCUUAAAAUUACUAAUUCUGGGGCAGCAACCCAACAACAGGUUGUCUGUUUUGUCUGAAAAUUUCAGGGCAGAUAGAUCUUGACCUAAUAGAUUAUUUUACCCAAUUUAAGAUUUGCUCUUAAUGCUUUGGUUUUAGAGUUAUAAGCCAAAAUCUACAUUUUACCCCUAUGUUCUAUUUUUAGCCAUGGCAGCCAUCUUGGUUGGUUGGCAGGGUCACGCCACACAUUUUUUAAACUAGAUAUCCCAAUGAUGAUUUUGGCCAAGUUUGGAUUAAUUUGGCCCAGUAGUUUCAGAGGAGAAGAUUUUUGUAAAAGAUAACUAAGAUUAUCGAAAAAUGGUUAAAAAUUUACUAUAAAGGGCAAUAACUCCUAAAGGGGUUAACUGACCAUUUCGGUCAUGUUUGACUUAUUUUGUAAAUCUUACUUUGCUGAACAUUAUUGCUGUUUACAGUUUAUCUCUAUCUAUAAUAAUAUUCAAGAUAAUAAACAAGAACAGUAAAAUUUCCUUAAAAUAACCAAUUUAGGGGCAGCAACCCAACAACAGGUUGUCCGAUUCAUCUGAAAAUUUUAGGGCAGAUAGAUCUUGACCUGUUAAACAAUUUUACCCCAUGUCAGAUUUGCUCUAAAUGCUUUGGUUUUUGAGUUAUAAGCCAAAAACGGCAUUUUACCUAUGUUCUAUUUUUUAGCCAUGACGGCCAUCUUGGUUGGUUGGCCGGUGUCACUGGACACAUUUUUUAAACUAGAUACCCAAUGAUGAUUGUGGCUAGUUUUGGUUUAAUUUGGCCCAGUAGUUUCAGAGGAGAAGAAUUUUGUAAAAGUUAACAACGACGCCGGACGACGCCAGACGCAAAGUGAUGGGAAAAGCUCACUUGGCCCUUCGGGUCAGGUGAGCUAAAAAGUUAACCAUAUGCAAUCUACACAUUUACAAUCUAUUUGAAAUAUUACAAUCUACCGUUGCAAACUUUCCACAGGUGCUAUCCAGCACUUUGAUUUAUAGGACCACAAAAAUUCAAAACUUUUGGUCAUAUAUUGGUAUUGCGUUGUUGUCAUCAUUGUACUUUUUGUCGUCGUCAUCAGCGUUGUCCCAAGACAGAUGGUUUCAGGAUAAUAACUUCAGUAUAAGUAAAUAGAAAUCAAUAAAAUUUUAACACAAGGUUUAUUACCACUAAAGAAAUCUUUGAUUGUCAUUAUGCAGGAUAAACUAGAAAUAAUGUUUGUUCCUUAGAUACUUAAUUACAGUUCCCUUUUUGACAGCAGUGCUGAUUAUCAAUUAAAAGAAUUUAAUAUGUGAAAUUAUUUGUGCAAUGUAAUACUAAACAUUAUAUUUUCUCAUCAUAAAAAGGAAGUGCUGUCAUCAUGCCCCUACAUGCAACAAAUUCGAAAGUUGUCUAUUCACAAACAUGUGGUGUGAUGUGCAUAUUAUCUCUAUUGGCCUUGUAUAUGAUAAAGGGGUGCUAGCUACAAAGAUAUAAAAAUCUAAUAUAUUAUUUUUUUGGCUCUAUCAUUAAUUAAAUGGAAAUAGUGAUAUAAUAAUUCGCUUUCAGCAUCCAGUUUGUCCAAAUAAUUAUGACGUCUGGCAAGGCUAUUUUAAUUUUUUUCUGGGACGCCUUCUUGUAGGAAGGCGUCCCAGAAAGAAAAAAAAAUAGCCUUGCCAGACAAGAAGGCGUCCCAGAAAAAAAUUAAAAUAGCCUUGCCAGACGUCAUAAUUAUUUGGACUAGCAUCCAGUAUGGUUCAAUUUUGUCAAAAUAAGGUAAAAACAAUAGAUUAAGACCCAUUAAGAUAUUGCCAUAUUGAUACAUGUAUAAAAUACCACUGAUGGACAAGGUAUAGUUGGAACUCCCCUGUAUUAAAAUGUCUGGUUCUGCCCCUCUAAAGAAUCCCAUUUUAGCAGCACUUAAAUGAUGAACUGAGAGAGGCUCUUCAGUGUAUAAACAAAAAAAUGACUAGAAAUGAUUAUCUCCCCUUAAUUGUGCAGCUUUGUAAAUCACUGCUCAGAUUAAGUUUUGGAAUCAGAAACUGUUUUUAUUUUAUAUAUUUAUCUGAAUUAUUGAAAAUGUAAUUCAGGAGGAAUUUAUGUAACGACGGUUGGUUAUUUAACGGACUUAAUUUGAAAUGUAGCUGUUAAAUUUAGACUCUUUAAAAUGAAACAUUGAGUAGAUUUCAUAUAUGUAAAUUUUCAAAUUAGGUAUCAAAUUCAAACUUGAUCUAAAAAUUUAAACUUGAUCUCAUUUGUGUACAUUGCAUUGUCCAUUAGGACAAGGUAUAAAUAUUCAAUAGUUACUACAUCUAAAAGCGUAAGGAUAAGGUAUACUUGUAAAACAUGGAUCUUUCAUUUCCUACAUAUAAUGAUUAAGAAUAUCGUGAAAUUAAAUCAUAGCGAAGUGGAAUAGAAAGGGCUAAAUGUGAAAUAAAGUAUCCUCGAAAUAAGUUGGUUUACAGUAUAUGGUUUGCUGACCCCCUACGGAUCCAUAGAGGGUUAGUAAAAUCCAUAGGAGUGAGGUCCUUUGGGUCUUACUUACCCUCUAUGGGUCUGUAAGAAGAGGGUAUGGAACAGUAUACAUGCAGUGGCGGAUCCAAAAAAAAUUCAGAUGUUGGGGCCCACUGACUGCCUAUUUUAAAAGGGGACCUGCUCCAGGGUGAGGCUGAGUGAGUCAUGCUUCAGUGAUUCCUUUUACAAUCAAACAACUAAAAAAAUGAGGGGGCCUUCGCCCCCCCCCCCUCUAAAGCCGACUCUGUUACAGGCAUGGGGUAAUGCAAAUUUGUAAUUCAUCACAUUUUUCUUAGGAACUACAAUACAAGGAUUUCUGAAAUUUGGUUACAAGGUUUAUAUAAUUCAGCUAUUCAGUGUGAUGCGUUUUCAGAUUCAUCACUAAACAACUUCCUGUUUACUGAAAUAUUUGGGUAUGGGUAUCAUUAGUGAGUGGUAGCUCGAUCCUGAGUUUCACUUGUAUUUAUUGAAACAGAUUGAUAAAUUUUUUUUAGGUACUUGAAAUUUAAAUAUUAUAGUCCACUAUAGUGACAAGAAGUUAAGUAGCCUGUUUUUUGUUAUAGAAAUUUAUAUUACUUAUUUCAGAUAAACCACACAACCCAAUGAUAAAUGCUGGAGCCAUUCUGACCUGUUCUUUACUCAAG
rnacentral:lncRNA from 1 species